rnacentral:rRNA from 1 species
UACGAAGGGUGCAAGCGUUACUCGGAAUUACUGGGCGUAAAGCGUGCGUAGGCGGUUUGUUAAGUCCGCUGUGAAAGCCCCGGGCUCAACCUGGGAAUGGCAUUGGAAACUGGCGGGCUUGAGUGUGGCAGAGGGGGGUGGAAUUCCGCGUGUAGCAGUGAAAUGCGUAGAGAUGCGGAGGAACACCGAUGGCGAAGGCAGCCCCCUGGGCUGACACUGACGCUCAGGCACGAAAGCGUGGGGAGCAAACAGG